UACGGGGGGGGCAAGCGUUGUUCGGAAUUACUGGGCGUAAAGGGCUCGUAGGCGGCCAACUAAGUCGGAUGUGAAAUCCCCAGGCUUAACCUGGGAACUGCAUCCGAUACUGGAUGGCUUGAAUCCGGGAGAGGGAUGCGGAAUUCCAGGUGUAGCGGUGAAAUGCGUAGAUAUCUGGAGGAACACCGGUGGCGAAGGCGGUAUCCUGGACCGGCAUUGACGCUGAGGAGCGAAAGCCAGGGGAGCGAACAGG
rnacentral:rRNA from 1 species